ensembl:miRNA
UAUUAGGUUGGUGCAAAAGUAAUUGCAGUUUUUGCAUUACUUUUAGUGGCAAAAUGCAAUUACUUUUGCACAAACCUGAUA